CAGAAGAUAGUUUAAUUUAGAACUCUGGCUUUGGGAGCCAGGGGUGGGAGUUAUAAUCUCCUUUUUCUGG
rnacentral:tRNA from 1 species